GUCUAUGGCCACACCGCCCUGAACGCGCCCGAUCCCGUCUGACUUCGGAAGCUAAGCAGGGUCGGGCCCGGUCAGUACUUGGAUGGGAGAAAUUGGAAAUACAUGUAUACUUAUAAACU
rnacentral:rRNA from 1 species